rnacentral:rRNA from 1 species
GAUGAACGCUGGCGGCGUGCCUAAUACAUGCAAGUCGAGCGAACAGACGAGGAGCUUGCUCCUCUGACGUUAGCGGCGGACGGGUGAGUAACACGUGGAUAACCUACCUAUAAGACUGGGAUAACUUCGGGAAACCGGAGCUAAUACCGGAUAAUAUAUUGAACCGCAUGGUUCAAUAGUGAAAGACGGUUUUGCUGUCACUUAUAGAUGGAUCCGCGCCGCAUUAGCUAGUUGGUAAGGUAACGGCUUACCAAGGCAACGAUGCGUAGCCGACCUGAGAGGGUGAUCGCCCACACUGGAACUGAGACACGGUCCAGACUCCUACGGGAGGCAGCAGUAGGGAAUCUUCCGCAAUGGGCGAAAGCCUGACGGAGAAACGCCGCGUGAGUGAUGAAGGUCUUCGGAUCGUAAAACUCUGUUAUUAGGGAAGAGCAAAUGUGUAAGUAACUAUGCACGUCUUGACGGUACCUAAUCAGAAAGCCACGGCUAACUACGUG